GUGGCUCACGAGCCCAGCCACUCGCGACAUGUGGGAUCUUCCUGGACCGGGGCACAAACCCGUGUCCCCUGCAUCGGCAGACGGACUCUCAACCACUGCGCCACCAGGGAAGCCCUGUUCCUUGUUUUUUAAGUACACGGGUCUCCCAUUAUUGUGGCUUCUCCCAUUGUGGAGCACAGGCUCCGGAUGCGCAGGCUCAGCGGCCAUGGCUCACGGGUCCAGCUGCUCUGCAGCAUGUGGGAUCCUCCCUGACCGGGGCACAAACUCGUGUCCCCUGCAUCGGCAGGCAGACUCUCAACCACUGCGCCACCAGGAGAAGCCGGCUGCCAUGACAUGAGAAUGCUCAAGCUUCACUAGGGGAAAGUUAACAUGGCAAGAACCUGAGGCCUCCUGCCAAGGGGCAAGGAUGAAACUGGGGUUUUCUGUCAACAGUCAGCCUUAAGAUGAUCACAGUCCUUGCUGACAUCUUAACUGUAACUUCAUGAGAGACCCUGAGCCAGAAUUACCCAGCUAGGCUGCUCCUGAAUUCCUAAACCACAGCAGAAAUUGUGAGAUAAGUGUUUAUUAUUUAAUCUUCUAGAUUUGGGGGCAAUUUCUUACAUAACAAUAGGUAACUA